rnacentral:lncRNA from 1 species
AAACCAAAAUCAGAGGCGGCUCUUCUACUGUUCUUCUUCUUUAGUGAACUCGCCUCAACUCGCAUGAGUUUUGAGCGAGUUCACUCAUUGGUCGCCCCCUUCACGUCACCUCAUCCUCAACGGAUUUGUCAGAGGAGUACGAUAUUCUCUCAAAAUGCACGAUUUCGGAAUCAAAAGGACAAUUGUUAGACGAAUGGGAGCCGUGGAUAGAUGUGAAUCAAUCCACUCCCUCCAUUUGUCCCGAAAUUGUUCAAUAAAUCUGAAGAUUUUCGGAUUCUAGGCAGAAGCUUCGAGAUAUUUUUGAGGUUUAUAUAUAAGGUAAGUUCUUUUCUUGUUAAGGAGGAAAAAAUUUUCAGAAAAAGGGUAGAGUAAAAUUUCUAGGGUUCUUGAGCUUUUUUCUUUUAUUCCUCAAGCUUUGGUAUGCUUUUCUUCAGAAAACGAAAAAAAAUUAGAAAAUGGUCUAAGUUUGUGUUGUUCGUUAAAAUUUUGUUUCCAAAGAAACCAGAAGAUUCUACGGCUUUUGUUGUUGUCCUGUUACUGUGAAGCUUCAUCUUCAGCUUUCUUCUUCUUUAAACUUUGUCGAGGAAAGGAAGAGGAACUCGCCGGAUUUCGGAUCCUACAAUUAUAGUUAUUUUCUGUGUUUUGCUCAUAUAUCCGAGAUCUUUUUGUUCAAACAGGUUUUCUCUCAGUUCCUCCUCGUCUCGUUAUUUUUUUUUUCUCUCUGCCUUGGAUUAUGUUUUAAUUUCAGUAAACGGAUGGUUUGAGUUAUUGUAUUUAAACAUUAAUCUAAUUAUGGUGGCCAAAAGAAGCCUAGGAUUAUGAAACCUUGAAAAAUCCUCUGUUUAGCUUAAUGCACUAUUGC